GACAACUGGAUGUUUUUAUCAAUUGCUUUUAAUAACCGACAUCAGUCAGACACCAUUUUAAAUGUUCCAGUGCAGGCCAGAAAAUAAUGUAUUUACACUUCAGCUUUAGACAGUUUUAUUGUGAAAAAUUCCAAGGCUCAACCAUGAAUGAGGCACGCUUCAAGCGCACAGGGUACCUGCGCAUGCAAGCUCACAGCCAGACACAGCUCGCCUCCCUCGCUGGGAUGCUGGGAUACUGCACGGCCUUCCCCGAAUGUGGCAGGGCUGGGCUCUGCCCAGUGCCUGCUCUUCUUAGAUUGAGCAAAAUCAAUUUUUUUUUCCUCUGGUGUCACAAGAUGGACAACUCAUGCAUCUUCUUUCCUUGGCUGGUGCACAGCACUGCAGCUGACACCUGAAGGGGCUUUUGCAUUUCAGCAGGUAAAAGGGAGCAGCAGUUCCCUCAGCCAUGCCCACCUGCCAGCUGUUCGCUUGAUGGAGAGCUGCUGGUUGUUAGAGGUGUGUGGCCACACGUCGGGGCUUGCUUUGGGAGAAGCAGCAGGAAAGGGGAGAUAAUGGCUGCAGAGUUGGAAAUGGGACUGCAGCAGGAACCAGCACUACCCUUCCACUGGUGUUUGCACUGUACCGCGUUAAUGACUUCAGUGUUGUACAGAGACCUGCAGUUUUAAUCGGUGCAUUACUUCCCCAGGCCGAUGCGGUGAGCUAAUCCAGCAACGGCUGCAUGGGCUCUCCCAGGGCAGCUCAGUGCCAAGGUGCUGCCACCAUCCCUGGCUGAGGACAUGGCUCCCCGCCAGGCUGCACAGCACUGGCCCCAGCAGCUCGUCCCCGCUGUAUCCAUGCUUGGCCCCUGAUGGGACAAGGCCGCCCUCCCCUACCACCAGUGGGGCGUGGG